rnacentral:lncRNA from 1 species
AUGAGCAGCCAAAACAAGAACAGCCAAAACAAGAACAGCUUGAAAAAAAAAUAUGGCAAAACUUGUGAAAAAACUUCUGUAAAAAAUUUCAUAAAUGAAUGCACAUUUCAACGUGAUAAUAAAUAUGAGAAUACAAAGGAACAAAAUAAUAGAAUUGGUCAAAAUGUAAAAAAUAAAAACAACUGUGCUGAAAGUGCACAUAUAAGUAACGAUGACACAAACAACAUUAAUGAAAACAAAGUUAUUAAUAUCAGUAAUAAAGAAAAAAAAAAUCAAACUUGUUCUAAUAAUCAAAUAAACAAUCAAUCAUCCCAAAAAGAAGAUACCCUAUCGAGUGACUCUUGUGUAGAUAAUAGAUUAUUAAAUAUAAAUAAAAAUGAAAAAAAAAAAAAUAUAAGUGUAAAUAAAAUUAAUGAUAAAAGUUAUGUUACUAACAAUAUACAAAACAUAUAUAAUAACACAUAUAAUAAUAAAACAUUUUUUAAUAGUAUGGACAUAAAAUAUACACAAAGUCAACAAAUGGUAAACCAAAAUAUAAACUAUUUAAAUAGUUUAAAUUAUAACAUAAAUAAUAAUAAUGUAAUUAAUUAUUAUAACUACGAUGUUAGUAAAGGAUAUAAUACAAACAGUGCAUACAAUACUAACAAUGCAUACAAUACUAACAUAAAUACAUACAGUACUGGAGGUGCUUAUACAAAUAAAACAAUACACGAGCAUGAUUAUAGUAUGAAUAAAAACGCUAAUAUAAAUAAAAAUUUUAAUUCUUUACAUAAUAACAACUUCGGUUUUUCAAAAAAUAAAGAAAUGAAUUUUGAUUUAUCAAAUAUACCUGUAAUAAAACAAAAAGAAAUGUUAAAUGAUUGGAAACCAAAUUUAACAGUAUUAGAUAAGCAAGAAAACCAACAAAAUAAUAAAUAUAAUAUAAAAACAAAAGUGUAUAAUCCAACUAAUAAUACUUUUGACAAAGUAAUUAUUCAUGGGAAAAAUCAAAAACGUAAACAUCAAAUUAAUUGGCUAGCUAAAGAAGCAGUUGAAAAGGAAUAUGAAAUUUUACAAAAAAUGAAUAACAAUAAAAGAAGAACAACAAGUGAUAAAUAUGGAUGGUGA